ACACGUAUCCAACCUGCCGUCUACUCUUGGACAGCCUUCUGAAAGGAAGAUUAAUACAAGAUGGCAUCAUGAGUCCGCAUGUUCACAUGAUUAAAGGUAUUCCGGUAGACGAUGGGGAUGCGUUCCAUUAGAUAGUAGGCGGGGUAACGGCCCACCUAGUCUUCGAUGGAUAGGGGUUCUGAGAGGAAGGUCCCCCACAUUGGGACUGAGACACGGUCCAAACUCCUACGGGAGGCAGCAGUGAGGAAUAUUGGUCAAUGGGCGAGAGCCUGAACCAGCCAAGUAGCGUGAAGGAUGACUGCCCUAUGGGUUGUAAACUUCUUUUAUAAAGGAAUAAAGUCGGGUAUGGAUACCCGUUUGCAUGUACUUUAUGAAUAAGGAUCGGCUAACUCCGUGCCAGCAGCCGCGGUAAUACGGAGGAUCCGAGCGUUAUCCGGAUUUAUUGGGUUUAAAGGGAGCGUAGAUGGAUGUUUAAGUCAGUUGUGAAAGUUUGCGGCUCAACCGUAAAAUUGCAGUUGAUACUGGAUAUCUUGAGUGCAGUUGAGGCAGGCGGAAUUCGUGGUGUAGCGGUGAAAUGCUUAGAUAUCACGAAGAACUCCGAUUGCGAAGGCAGCCUGCUAAGCUGCAACUGACAUUGA
rnacentral:rRNA from 1 species